rnacentral:misc_RNA from 1 species
GAUGAAGAACGUAGCGAAAUGCGAUACUUGGUGUGAAUUGCAGAAUCCCGUGAACCAUCGAGUCUUUGAACGCAAGUUGCGCCCGAAGCCAUUAGGCCGAGGGCACGCCUGCCUGGGCGUCACACGUCGUUGCCCCCCCAUCUACUCCUUCGGGAUUGCGGGGGGCGGAUGAUGGCCUCCCGUGCGCCUUGUCGCGCGGUUGGCAUAAAUGCCAAGUCCUCGGCGACGCACGCCACGACAAUCGGUGGUUGCGAAACCUCGGUUGCCCGUCGUGUGCGGUCGUCGCGCAUCGAGGGCUCGAAAAAAUUAUCGGGCUCCGGCUCGGCUUUCAACGCGACCCCAGGUCAGGCGGGGUUACCCGCUGAAUUUAAGCAUAUCAAUAAGCGGAGGA